AUCCUUUCUCUUGCUAGCUUGUUCAUGUCUUCAAGCAUGGACUGUGCUGUUUCAAUUCCAGCAAAUGCAAAUUGUUGUCAAUGCUGAUCAGGAAAUCGCAGAAGCAGCGUAGUACCUGUUUCAUUAGGUAGCAAAAACACCCCACAAAAACGAGCAGAAAGAUGACCUGAUCUGUUGAUGCUCUUUCGAUUUCUGAUACUGGAAUGCUUGGUUUAAGGGAAGGAUAUAGUCUAUGGAGAUCCUGCAGUGUCCAUAUCAGUAGCUGCAGAGAAAAUCAGGAGACAUGAGAAGAAUUCAGAAGUCAACUUGCAAACGCUGAUCUUGUCAUGGACACCUGGAGCUCUAUGAAGAAAGACAAUUACGAAACCCGUAAUCAAAGAUUACCUCAUUCACAGAAGCAGAGCCAAUGCAGGGAGAUAAGUCAAGCAAGUCCCUGAAGGUCAGAACCUUCGUCCGAAUAUCUGUCAUCUUUACAAAGUUCCCUGCAACCCCGCGUGACUUGACAACUGCAGUAUUCUUCAUUUGUUUUUGAUUUUUUGAUGCUUUAGAGCUUUUACUUGCUUGUUCUUUACCCUGUAAACAUUCCAGGCAUAUACUUGUUACUUUCCUCCAUUUUGCAGAUCUGCCUUCUUAUUGUUGUUUACUUCAUAUGACU